GAUGAACGCUGGCGGCGUGCCUAAUACAUGCAAGUCGAGCGAACAGACGAGGAGCUUGCUCCUCUGACGUUAGCGGCGGACGGGUGAGUAACACGUGGAUAACCUACCUAUAAGACUGGGAUAACUUCGGGAAACCGGAGCUAAUACCGGAUAAUAUAUUGAACCGCAUGGUUCAAUAGUGAAAGACGGUUUUGCUGUCACUUAUAGAUGGAUCCGCGCCGCAUUAGCUAGUUGGUAAGGUAACGGCUUACCAAGGCAACGAUGCGUAGCCGACCUGAGAGGGUGAUCGGCCACACUGGAACUGAGACACGGUCCAGACUCCUACGGGAGGCAGCAGUAGGGAAUCUUCCGCAAUGGGCGAAAGCUUGACGGAGCAACGCCGCGUGAGUGAUGAAGGUCUUCGGAUCGUAAAAAUCUGUUAUUAGGGAAGAACAAAUGUGUAAGUAACUAUGCACGGCUUGACGGUACCUAAUCAGAAAGCCACGGCUAACUACGUG
rnacentral:rRNA from 1 species